GAUGUGUGGAUCAGUUUAAAGAAGGGUCCUUGGGUAUUGAACAUCUUGCUGCUGUUGAUAGCAUCUGUGACUUUGUAUCAAAGGCUAUGGGGGCUGCUGAUCCUGUCCGCACUUACCAUGUGAAUCUGUCAAUUUUCACUUCAAUUCCUGAUUUUUGGGCCUUUGGUCAAUUGUUUCCGAUUAUUCCAAUUCACCGCUUAGAUGAAAAGCCUGUAGCGAGGGGAAUAUUAUCGGACUUGACUUGUGACAGUGAUGGAAAUUGUUCCAAUACACCGUUUAGAUGAAAAACCUGCAGUAAGGGGAAUAUUAUCGGACUUGACUUGUGACAGUGAUGGGAAGGUUGAUAAGUUCAUUGGUGGCGAAUCAAGCUUGCCGCUGCAUGAAUUGGGAAGUAAUGGCGAUGGUGGUGGUUAUUAUCUGGGGAUGUUU
rnacentral:lncRNA from 1 species